CCUUACCUUCUCUCUUCUUCUCUCCCCUUCCUGCGUCGCCCCUCCCUUCUCGCCUGCGCGCCUCAUGACUCGCCGCCCGGUGAGCGCCUCCUUCCUAUCGCUCGCUGCAAUCAAAGCCCGCGCAGCCUCCAGCGGGGACGGCAGGCCUCGGGCGGAGGGAGACAAGGAGCGGAAAGGCCCGUCCCUCCCGGUGUAGUCCGAGAUCCAGUGGGGGGAGCUGUUGUCCUCGGAGCCAGCCAACGCUGCGGUCGUGGUGCUAACCGGCGCGCUCGUCUGGGCCGGCUCCUCCUUGCUGCAGCAGCUCCUGCUCAUCUCUGACGUGAUCUUCGCCGUCGCCGUCAAGUGCUCCUUCGUCACCGUGCAUGCACCUGCUCUUCGUCCUCAUCGCGCUCCUGUGACCGGCUUCAUCGCCAUGUCACUCCAUCUCCACGAGGUGUGCCUGCAGCAAAUAGAGGGGAGGGCGGAUGCCAUGAGCCACAGGCAAUGGAUCGGAGGACUUCAUGUUGAGGAGGAUGUCGCUGUGCCGCUCCCCACUAAUCAACGUCGUGCCACCCCCUACCGCGGUACUGCCACUCUCCUUCCCACGAUGCGCCGUGGAGGCUGUGGUGGGCAACAGCGGCGGCCAUGGCCGACGACACCAUGGGCCGGUUGAUCGACGGCUAGAAGAUUGUAAGGCUGUUAGGAUGCUGGCGCCAUGAACCUGGAAAGACUCUUUCACCUGCUACUCCCAUCCAUGUACAUGCUUACCAUGUGUUUGCUGAUAUUCCCUAGAGCUCUAUCAUUUUGUUGAUAUUUCUCACCAUGUGUUCGUUGCAACCACGACAAGCUUGCCUUCCAGUUCUGUCCUCCCUGUUAUAAGACACACUCUAUUGCUAUC